AAUUCGAUUUUGGAGGGCAAGUCUGGUGCCAGCAGCCGCGGUAAUUCCAGCUCCAAUAGCGUAUAUUAAAGUUGUUGCAGUUAAAAAGCUCGUAGUUGAAUUUCGGGGUUAGUAGGUUGGUCAUGCCACUGGUAUGUACUGGUCUCACUGAUUCCUCCUUCCUGAUGAGCCGUAAUGCCAUUAAUUUGGUGUUGCGAGGAAUCUGGACUGUUACUUUGAAAAAAUUAGAGUGUUUAAAGCAAGCUAACGCUUGAAUACAUUAGCAUGGAAUAAUGAAAUAGGACGUUCGAUCCUAUUUUGUUGGUUUCUAGGAUUGACGUAAUGAUUAAUAGGGAUAGUUGGGGGCAUUAGUAUUCAAUUGUCAGAGGUGAAAUUCUUGGAUUUAUUGAAGACUAACUACUGCGAAAGCAUUUGCCAAGGAUGUUUUCAUUAAUCAAGAACGAAAGUUAGGGGAUCGAAGACGAUCAGAUACCGUCGUAGUCUUAACCAUAAACUAUGCCGACUAGGGAUCGGAUGAUGUUAAUUUUUUAAUGACUCAUUCGGCGCCUUACGGGAAACAAUCA
rnacentral:rRNA from 1 species